GCGCCCGUGGCUCAACUGGAUAGAGUAUCGGACUUCGGAUCCGACGGUUAUAGGUUCGAAUCCUAUCGGGCGUA
rnacentral:tRNA from 1 species